GGGCCCGUAGCUUAGUCCGGUGGAGCGUCUGGCUCAUAACCAGAUGGUCGUCGGUUCAAAAGGUCCCGCGGUACCCA
rfam:Euryarchaeota archaeon 13_1_20CM_4_64_14 13_1_20cm_4_scaffold_1123, whole genome shotgun sequence.